rnacentral:rRNA from 1 species
CCUACGGGAGGCAGCAGUGAGGAAUAUUUGUCAAUGGGAGAGAUCCUGAACCAGCCAAGCCGCGUGAGGGAAGACGGCCCUAUGGGUUGUAAACCUCUUUUGUCGGAGAACAAAACCCGGGACGUGUCCCGGACUGCGUGUAUCCGAAGAAAAAGCAUCGGCUAACUCCGGGCCAGCAGCCGCGGUAAUACGGAGGAUGCGAGCGUUAUCGGGAUUUGUUGGGGUGAAAGGGAGCGUAGGCGGGCGGUCAAGUCAGCGGUAAAAUCGCGCGGUUCAACCGCGCCCCGCAGUUGAAACUGGACGCCUUGAGUUCACAACAGGCAGGCGGAAUUCGUGGUGUAGCGGUGAAAUGCAUAGAUAUCACGAGGAACCCUGAUGGCGAAGGCAGCCUGCCGGGGUGCGACUGACGCUGAGGCUCGAAGGUGCGGGGAGCAAACAGGAUUAGAUACCCUUGUAGUC